rnacentral:sRNA from 1 species
UAAUAAUAAUUAUAUUAUUAUAAUAAUAAAUUCAAAUUAAUCUAUAAUAAUUUUAACGGAUUAUUUAAUUAACCCGUUUCUGCCGUAUUAUGAUAUAAAAAUUAAUAUUUUAUUUGUAAACCAAUUUCAAAAUUUUAUAUCAAUUUUAUACCCUCUAUUACAAUAAGAAUUACUGGGAUGUUACCACUAUAUAAUUUUCAAAACCCUGAAAAAGUUCUAAUAAUUAAUAAAACCGUAGGUCCGGUUUUAUUCCAUUAUAAAAUCGACGACCGAAAACGUAAUUUUGAAUUUAUUAAUAACAAAUAUACAGGUUUUUAAUUACAAAGGUUAAAGUCAGAAGUUAUUAUAUUAACUUUAAAAAAUGGAGAAUAUUAAGCAGUAUAAGAAAUACCGCUCUAUUUAUAUACCUAAUAAGAAUAAUUCUAAUGGAAAUAGUAUAACUAAUAACCCUAAUCUUUUUCAAAUCAAAGAAACUAUUUGCGUUUUUAACAGUUUGCUUUAAAUAAUAAUAAUAUUAUAUACCCUACAAACUUCCAUUAUAAUAAGGUUUUUUUUAAAUUUGGAUUUCUUAAUAAUCGCCCGCAAUUUUAUUUUUUUCAACGGUUAUCCAAUUAUGGGUAAUUUAAUUUAAAUUGAGAAAAAUAAUUUAUAGGGGUUUAUAUUAAACUUGGUGAUAAAACAGAUUUUAAUAUCGGACUUUUUAUAACGGAAACCCCCUUUGUUUCCGGAAUUAGUUUUUUUUAUAUUUAAUUGCGCAAAAACUUUUAACGUUUUACCAGCUUUACGCGAUUUAAUUUUGCGUUGACUUUGAGAGUUUUUUGCAUUAAAUUUUUACAUUAUAAGUAAAUUUAUAGUUAUGUUUUUAUUUUGUUCGAAAUUUAACUUUUCUAUUAUUAUAUUUCUGUCCGGUUCCGAAUCGGUGUAAACUUUAUAAUUGUUUUUAUUUAUUGGGAUUAUAUUAUUUAGUUUUACCUUUAAUGGGGUUGCGUGAUUUUUCUAACCCCCUGUAAAAUUUGAUUAAAAAUGGUAUUAUAUUUGCCAAUUAGAUAGGUUUAAUUCGAAAGUAUAAAUAUAUUCCCAUAAAAAUAUUGCAUUUUUUACUUUCAAAUAAAACAAGUUUUUGGCGGUAUUUAAAGAUUCCCACGUUUUGCAAUCCCAAUUAUACAAAGUAUUUCUUAAUAAUACGUCCUUUAUAUUAUAAUAUAUUAGCCUAUUAAAAAUAUUUAUUCCAAACAAUAGUAUAUAUAAUUUGUUAUUUAACGUAAUUAUUUUGAAUUGGUUAAUCUUAGGGUAAUACCGGACUUAUAUUUAAACAAUUCUAAUGCUAAUAGGCCUAAUAGGGCCAUUUCCGGUACCGAUUUUAAAAUUGGGAAAGAAUUGAUUUUUUACAAAUAUAUAAUGCGUGCUAGUUAUAUUAUACGGGACCGGUUAAUUUAACCUCUGAGGUUUCAAAUUCUUAUUUCCGCGGUUUCAAAAUUUUAUUUUAACCCUACAAUUAAUUGUUAAUAUUUAUAGUUUUAACGUUUUACCGGUAUAAUCGGGUUCCGAAUCCAAUUCCGUAUAUAAUUUUAUAACCCUGUUAAUAACGGAAUUAAUAUCCUAUUGCAAUAUCCUGUACGGUAAAUUACCGCCCGAAUUGUUUAUUUCUUGUAAAACGUUAAACGAUACGCAUGCGUUAGCGUUAUAAUCGAACCCGUAAAUAAUUCGAAAUUUAUUAAAUUUAUAAAACUUCCAUCGUUCAGUUUGUUAAAAUUGGAGAGUUUAAUAUUUCUUGCAAAUACGAAAUUGUAAUUAAAGUUUUAGGUUUUUUUUGUAAUUUAACAAUGGCUUCUUGUCCCUAUUUUCCUUCUUAAAGCUUUUUUCAGCGUUCUUUUACCGGUUUUUCAAUUUUCAACUUUAUAAUUAAUACUUUUGGGUCUUCUGAAAUUUAUAAUUGAUACUUUUAGCUAUUGCACAGCUUAGAAUUAGAUAUUCGGAUAUGCAAUCCACUAUAAAAUACUGCAAAUUUAAUUUAUCCGAAUUUUAAUUUAUAAUUUGCAAAGCCCGUUGGGUAUUAUACUAAUAUCUGGUUUAAAUAAGCAAAGUCCCUUUUAAAACCCGUAAAUAUUAAUUUCGGAUAUAUAUAGAAUUAAUUUGGACGCUAAUGUUUGUUAAUUUGAUUAUUAUAAAAUUAAAACGGCUGUCAAAUUCCGGUAUCGAUUUUAUAAAUUUCGAAGAAUUUAGGGUUUAAAAUAUCAAAUAUAACGGAUUUCAGUUAAUUUUAAAUGCAAGGGAAUAAUCAUUUUCCAGGGUUUUAUAAACUGCUAUAAGGUUGAAAUACUAUAUAAUCAACUUUAGUGGUUAUUUGGUCAAAUUGUUUUUUAUAAAUAAUAAUGGGAUUAAUUAUUUGUAUUUGCGUAGAUUAUAACGAAAUUUAAUAAUGGAAAUAAAUUCCGCAACUUUUAUAAUUUUAAACUGCAUUAUAAAUACCUGUUUCCAUAGGUUGAAAUUAUUAACCCCUAUUAAUUUGCAAUUCUUAGGGGAAAAAACACCCGUUUUAAGGAUUUUAUAUUUAUUUUAUUAUUUAAAAUAAAAUUACUAGGUGGAUAAGGCGUUAUAAUAGCUUUAACGUUAAAAGUUUGUAAGUUAGCCUCCAAACUACCGUUAUUGGGGUUAUUCAUACACCUAAUAUUAUCAGAACUGAUGAAUUUGCCAUUGUUUGUAAUUAGCAAAAGAAUUAAAUAUUAAAUUAUAUAUUGAAAUUAAUUUAUUUUGGUAAUUUGUCACGUUCGUGUAACAAAAUCUUAUAAUUGAGACCGACGAGGUGCCUGCUAAGUGCAAGUACUGUAGGAUCUUUUAAUCCAUUAAUUGUAUUUGUUAUAUCGCCGGGCAGAUACGUGAUAUAAUUAACAUUUUUAGCUGCAAAUUUGGAUUUGUAAUUUAACUGUUAAAAGUUCGUCUCAGUUGGGUUUAAAUCCCUUAUUUUGCAAAAUUGGGCUUGGAAGACUGGAUAUAGAAUUAUCUUUAAUUUUAGGGUAGUUUGAACUUUAAAUAAAGUUCAAUUAAUCUUAUCACAUAGAAAUAAAUGCCCUGAUUUGAAACUUCUUAUAACUGUUUACCUUUUAACGGUUAUAAAUUUAUACGUAUUGAAAAUAUAAAGUUUAUUGCUAUUUUUAAUGGUCGAAUAUAUUAGAAAUACAGGGUUAAGUUUUUUCAAUUUUAUAUUAUAUGGGUCUUUCAAUAUUUAUACCACUCCAAAUAUAUAUAACGAACGAAAUUCGAUUCGUUAAAUGGUGCAGGGUAAAUUGCAAAAUUACGCAUAAAAUAAAUGCAAUAUAACGGUUAAUCUGUUUGUGGGCUUUUUAGCGAACAAAUAUAAAGAUUUUAUUUUUAAUUUGUUAAUAUAAACCCUAUUAAACGUAUUAAAGCUUUAAAAUAAUUGCAAUAAUAAUAUAAGAGCCACAAACACCGCACCAAAAACUUGGAAUUUGCAAAUUUAACGUGCGUUGCAAUAUUUGUACAUUAAAUUUGAAUUAAAUGUUAAUUUAAUAACCCUUUGUUAUAAAUAUAGGGGGAGAAACCAAAUAAUAUUUGUAACUGGCCAUUUGUAUAAAAACAGCAAUAUUCUCCUCAAUAUACGUGCUGUAAAAAUGCAAUAAUAACCAAACUAAAGCAUUAAAUUUAGAAUUUCCAACGGUGCAAAAUAUAUUUUAAUAUAUAUAAAUUAAAAUCUUUCCGGUUUUAUAACCUGCUAAUAAUAUUAGUUUAUUAGUAGGGGUUUAGGGGUAAAUUCUAGGUGCGGCGUAAUGUUAAUUAAUAAUAAAAGCCGUGUAACAAAAAUAAGAAUAUUUUAUAAAUAUAAAAUAAAAAUAUAUUAAGAUUUGGGAAAAUGAAUUAUAUUAAUCGGGGGAAAUUUAAUUUUUUCCCUUGAACACCUUUUAAUAUUAAAAUGGGGGUCGGUACGCUAAAAAGCCUUCCGGUGCCGCAAAUGGUUUCCAGACAGUUAUUUUAUAUGGGUUCCUGAAAAAAUACUUUUAUUUGCAUAAAAUUCAUUUUUGGGUUUGCAUUUAAAUGCGAAUUUUAUAAAAGUUUUAAUUCGGUAUAAGGUAAUUAAUUCGGAGGUGCGGGGUAGGUAAUACACCCGGUACAGGGUAAUUAAUUCCAUUCACUAAUUUAAAUUGCAAUUCCUAUAUAUUAUAAAUUAAAAGAAUUCCAACAAUUCCAUUUCGGUAUUAUAAAUUAAAAGUUAUAUAUAAAUAUCAAUGGGCCAAUUAUAUGCAAAGUAAUAUAUAUAGUUAGCAAUUAUAAUAUUAAAUCUCAAGUGAAGAUUAAAUAUUUCUAUAUAAAAAUAGCUAAU